GGCAGCUCCCCCAGCUCCUCUCGUGCUUGCUGCUGUCCUUGGGCUGCUGGAGCUGCCUGGGCUCUGUCCUGGGCUGGGUGCCCCUGGCACCCAACUCCUUGCACCCACACAGGGGCAGGCCUGGCUGAGCAGUACCCAGGAGGGGCUCCCACGUUGUUGAUUUCUGAACACCAGCUCAGCCCAAGGAUGAUGGCCACGGUCUGUGGCUGCCAGAGCUGUUGCACCAGAGGAAUAAUUAGUUUCUCUCUGGAGCACAGCUUUAUCCUCCCUUCAGCCCCUGGACCUGCUGAAGUACAGCAGCUCUCCCUCCUCUCCAGUCACCUCCGUGCCAUGAGAGAGAGAAAAGGCCGAGCUCUACCCUGCUUUGAAAGGACUGAUGAAUAUGCAAACUCUCAGGGCUGAAAUAUUGCUUAUCCACGUCACGGGGUGUGCAUGGAGCUCUGCUUGUGCUGCUGCUGAGGAUGUGGACACCACCAGCGUGCAGCUGAGCAGCUUAGGGAAGAUUUAACUCUUAUUUCUAUUCUCGACACAGAAUCAUUAGUAAGGUUAUGGCUGUGUUGGGGGCUUUUCCCAGUGCCCUCCCCCUGCUGUGGCAGGGCCUGGG